GCUUGCUGCUUCGCUGACGAGUGGCGGACGGGUGAGUAAUGUCUGGGAAACUGCCUGAUGGAGGGGGAUAACUACUGGAAACGGUAGCUAAUACCGCAUAACGUCGCAAGACCAAAGAGGGGGACCUUCGGGCCUCUUGCCAUCGGAUGUGCCCAGAUGGGAUUAGCUUGUUGGUGGGGUAACGGCUCACCUAGGCGACGAUCCCUAGCUGGUCUGAGAGGAUGACCAGCCACACUGGAACUGAGACACGGUCCAGACUCCUACGGGAGGCAGCAGUGGGGAAUAUUGCACAAUGGGCGCAAGCCUGAUGCAGCCAUGCCGCGUGUAUGAAGAAGGCCUUCGGGUUGUAAAGUACUUUCAGCGGGGAGGAAGGGAGUAAAGUUAAUACCUUUGCUCAUUGACGUUACCCGCAGAAGAAGCACCGGCUAACUCCGUGCCAGCAGCCGCGGUAAUACGGAGGGUGCAAGCGUUAAUCGGAAUUACUGGGCGUAAAGCGCACGCAGGCGGUUUGUUAAGUCAGAUGUGAAAUCCCCGGGCUCAACCUGGGAACUGCAUCUGAUACUGGCAAGCUUGAGUCUCGUAGAGGGGGGUAGAAUUCCAGGUGUAGCGGUGAAAUGCGUAGAGAUCUGGAGGAAUACCGGUGGCGAAAGGCGGCCCUCUGGACGAAGGACUGACGCUCAGGUGCGAAAGCGUGGGGGA
rnacentral:rRNA from 1 species